UGUGUGAGACUAUUAACUGCAAUGUCAGUUCGUUUAAAAUUGUUCGUAGUAUGCUAAAGAUUUCCGUACACAUACAUAUAAACAAGUAGUCUCUCAUUUAACAUUUACACAAUUUGCUGUAUUUAGAUAAUAUAAUUUAUAUAGUUUUAAUAGUUAAAUUAAACUAGUAAAUGAACUGUGCAAAUAGAUUUAAACAUUUUUCAACUUUCAGUGACAAUUUACUUGUUUGGUAUUUUCAGACAAGAAAUUAUAUUUUGAUUAUGAGAUUUCAAAACAUAACUCAAUGAUUUAUUCGUUACUUAAUUUGUUAGGGCGAUGACUAAUUGUUAUUAAUUGAACAGAUCUUGUUCUUACUGAUUAUAAGUAACUGCUACGUACCACUAACAGUAUUGUGACAAUACUCUGACUUGAUAGUUGCACUCAUUCUUUGAGAAUAAGAAUCAGAACAAAUUUUUAUUCAGAUUAAUUAUGAGUCAAACUGAUCCUGACGAUAUUUGUCUUCUGGUUGAUGACGACUGCCAUAGGCCUACCAGAAGUCAGAAGAUUGCUAGAGGAGCUGCUUUCCUACUGCAACAGCAGACCUCUCAUCUCUCACCAGUGGUUACAGGCUGUGUACUCAUUGUAUCUCUUGUAUCAAUUUUUCUCCUUGUUUUGUGUGUUGUAUUGAACAUUUAUGAAGAAUAAAUUUAGUGUUAUAAAUUAUGCAUAAAAAUUCUA